UACGAAGGGGGCUAGCGUUGUUCGGAAUUACUGGGCGUAAAGCGCGUGUAGGCGGGUCUUUAAGUCAGGGGUGAAAUGCCAAGGCUCAACCUUGGAACUGCCUUUGAUACUGGAGACCUUGAGUCCGGGAGAGGUGAGUGGAAUUGCGAGUGUAGAGGUGAAAUUCGUAGAUAUUCGCAAGAACACCAGUGGCGAAGGCGGCUCACUGGCCCGGACCUGACGCUGAGGCGCGAAAGCGUGGGGAGCAAACGGG
rnacentral:rRNA from 1 species